AGAAAGUGUUAAACUAAAAUUGUUAAUCCCUCCUUCCAAAUUUUUCUAUCAUCUUUUGCCUAUAUUAUAACUCUCAAGAUGUCAUAAUAUGGUAUGAAGAAAAAAAUAUGAUAAACAUAUGAAGAAACAGAAUUAUGACAUCUCUUCUUAAAAAUUAUGAUACCUCUUUAUAGAAAUUAUGACACCCCUGCAAAAAAUACUAAAUUGAAGUUGUUAACGUCUCCAUCCAGAUCUUCCUAUCAUCAUUUGCCUAUAUCAUGAAUCAUAAAACGGUAUUGAGAAAAAAAGAUGAUGAAUAUAUAUGAAAAUAAAAUUAUGAUAUUUUUUCUUAGAA
rnacentral:lncRNA from 1 species